rnacentral:rRNA from 1 species
GAUGAACGCUGGCGGCGUGCCUAACACAUGCAAGUCGAGCGAAGCGCCUUACUUGAUUUCUUCGGGAUGAAAGUAUUGUGACUGAGCGGCGGACGGGUGAGUAACGCGUGGAUAACCUGCCUCAUACAGGGGGAUAACAGUUAGAAAUGACUGCUAAUACCGCAUAAGACCACAGCACCGCAUGGUGCAGCGGGAAAAGGAGCAAUUCGCUUCAGGAUGGCCUCGCGUCCAAUUAGGUAGUUGGUGGGGUAACGGCCUACCAAGCCGACGAUCAGUAGCCGACCUGAGAGGGUGACCGGCCACAUUGGGACUGAGACACGGCUCAA